rnacentral:misc_RNA from 1 species
CUAUUUUUGCCUUCACUGAUAUGACUGAAGCUUUCUGGAUCAUUUCUUGAUACAUGCAGAAGCAAGGAAUCAAGUUCUUCCAAGGCUCUAUAAAAAUGAAAAUGCUAUCACUGUCAUAAGUGAAUUGAUCUUUGCUUGCAAUUGUAUACUUGAAUUAUUUAUACAAGCUUGCCACACGUUCGCCAUACAUGCCAUUUCAAUAACUUUUUCCAAAUGCACCUUUUUUUUAAUGAAAAUAAGCAACAGUUUUCAAACUUCUUGUGCCUGGACAGGGUUUCUCCAAACAUGAUUAUGGGUGCAAAUCCUAGCGGCACUUAUCCUAGGGAGAGAGCAUACUUGGUCUGGUAAUAGGAAGACCAGAAUGCGAAGGAAGACCAGAUUGCGAGGUACAUUAAAUUAGAAAGCCACCUCUGUAACAAAAUGACACACCUAUAAUUCUUUUUGGUUUUUACAAGUGCUUGAGAGAUUAUGGCACAUACCUGAGACAUUGAUCAACAUCAUUGAAAGCAGUGUUGCCACUUCCAGCAUCUGAGGCAUAUUGCGCUACCUGAAGUUCCGAAGAAAAUUUCCAAAGCUCAGGAACUCAUGCACACAAAGAUGCACGAAUAUUUAUACGAAGAGAGGCUGCAGGACCAGAGCGUAACAGAUAUCGACAGUCAGCAAACUGGGGUUGAUCAACCUCCAAAGUUUUCUCUGUACCAGUAAAAGCACAAAUAAAAACAUCAUGCCAGACUUUCAACAUCUUAGAAAAGGCCUAAUCGAGCUACAUUUCUUGCAAAUUUUAAGGAUU